CGCCAGCCCGCUCAGAAACUCAAGGAAGUUGACGGGGCCCGCACAAGCGGUGAGCAUGUGGUUUAAUUCGAUGAUACGCGAGGAACCUUACCUGGGCUCAAAUGUAUGUUGACGUAUUCUGAAAGGGAUACUUCUUCGGACAAUAUACAAGGUGCUGCAUGGUUGUCGUCAGCUCGUGCCGUGAGGUGUCGGGUUAAGUCCCAUAACGAGCGCAACCCCUAUCAUUAGUUGCCAUCAGGUCAAGCUGGGGACUCUAAUGAAACUGCCUACGCAAGUAGUGAGGAAGGUGGGGAUGACGUCAAAUCAGCACGGCCCUUACGUCCAGGGCUACACACGUGCUACAAUGGCCGGUACAAAGGGCAGCUACCUGGUGACAGGAUGCUAAUCUCAAAAGCCGGUCUCAGUUCGGAUCGGAGUCUGCAACCCGACUCCGUGAAGCUGGAAUCGCUAGUAAUCGCGCAUCAGCCAUGGCGCGGUGAAUACGUUCCCGGGCCUU
rnacentral:rRNA from 1 species